rnacentral:rRNA from 1 species
GGAAUCUUAGACAAUGGGGGAAACCCUGAUCCAGCCAUGCCGCGUGGGUGAUGAAGGCCCUAGGGUUGUAAAAUCCUUUCGUUGGGGACGAUAAUGACGGUACCCAAAGAAGAAGCUCCGGCUAACUUCGUGCCAGCAGCCGCGGUAAUACGAAGGGGGCUAGCGUUGUUCGGAUUUACUGGGCGUAAAGCGCGUGUAGGCGGGUCGUUAAGUUGGGGGUGAAAUCCCGAGGCUCAACCUCGGAACUGCCUUCAAAACUGGCGACCUGGAGCAAGAUAGAGGCAAGUGGAAUUGCGAGUGUAGAGGUGAAAUUCGUAGAUAUUCGCAGGAACACCAGUGGCGAAGGCGACUUGCUGGAUCUUUGCUGACGCUGAGACGCGAAAGCGUGGGGAGCAAAC